AUACGUAGGGGGCAAGCGUUGUCCGGAAUUACUGGGCGUAAAGGGUGCGUAGGCGGUCAAAUAAGUCAGAUGUGAAAGUCCAGGGCUCAACCGUGGAAUCGCAUUUGAAACUGUUUGACUUGAGUGCAGGAGAGGAGAGUGGAAUUUCUAGUGUAGCGGUGAAAUGCGUAGAUAUUAGGAAGAACACCAGUGGCGAAGGCGGCUCUCUGGACUGUAACUGACGCUGAGGCACGAAAGCGUGGGAAGCGAACAGGAUUAGAUACCCUGGUAGUCCACGCCGUAAACGAUGAGUGCUAGGUGUCGGGAGUCGAAUCUCGGUGCCGGCGCAAACGCAAUAAGCACUCCGCCUGGGGAGUACGACCGCAAGGUUGAA
rnacentral:rRNA from 1 species